rnacentral:lncRNA from 1 species
CACCUUUGUAAGUGUAAGGUGGAGGUAUAAUAAUAACAACGAUAAGGUAUUGCUUACAAUGAUUUACCCUAUUAUAAUUCAGCAAAUAAAACAACAUCAAAAAAUAAGAGCUACUCAAAAUGCAUACAUCUCCUCUCAUUGUACCAUCAUUUUGGAAAAAAAAAAAAUAAAAAAAAUCCCAUCAACAUCGAUAGUGCAUUCUGACCAAUAAACACAAGAACCAGCGUUACUAUCUCAGCACAUAGCCCUUCUUUUAGCAAUGUUAAACUUGACUCCCUGAACCUCAAGAUUUUCAUAGAACGCCUGUCAUACCCUGCAUGCUCUCAAAUGUGCAGCAAAACCAAAGGGAACUCAGCUGUUUCAGGAGCUGCUUAGCAUAUAAUACAUACUGGCCAGCAAUGCAGAUGCAAUUCAGAUCUUUGUCUCUAUAGAUAGCCUUUUGAAAGCAUCAAAAAAGAGAAGGUCCAUUAGUCCUUUUAGUCCCAUUGUCUGCAGUUAAGACUUUCAGAUUCCAAAAAGCACAACAAAAAGCAUUGAAUGAUUUUUCAAAUGUAAACAUUUAAGCAGAAGUUACUGAGAAAUCAAACUGCAACUCCACUUAGCUAAUGGCCAGGCACCGCUGCUAUUCCAUAUCUCCUACUAAAUCUCUGGCAUAAUUAGAAAAGUACAGGAAUACAUAAUACCAUGAAGAAAGCAAAUACCUUGAUCCCAAAUCUGAUAAUACAACACCACAGAGUCCUCACUGUACAUGCUGUUUUGCUCUUUAUGUAAAAUUAGUUUCACUCUCACAAAGCGUUUAGUUACAGUUAUACUUCUGCAAUUAAUCACAGCUAUUGCUAUAUCUGUAACUGCUAUCUAUUGCAACAUACAGCGAAGCAAAAACUAGACAGAUAGACAUAUAGAUUUAUUUAACAUUCUAAGUGACACAACCUGAAAAAUGCAGUGAAGCCAUUCUUAAAAAAAACAAACCAUGCACUGAGAUCAAUUUAUAAGCCAGUAAGAGAAUUUUAUUGUCCAAAAAA